ACCAUCACGCACAUGACGUAAAUCAUACAGACUCGGAACGUCAACCCUGCUUCUCUCUCCAGGAGACACUGUUCGACUGGCUGAGUUUCUUCAGCAUUUUCUGUUUUUACUGCAUAGUCCUCAUUGGCCUUGAGAGAAACUAAGGGAUGAUAUGGCGCAGUGAUAGCCAUCACUGGUCAAUGGCCUGAGCCCUAUGGUUUAUUUGGCCCUGAUCAAAGCCACUGGUUUCCAGUGGGAAAGCUGCGAGCAAUCAUGGCUUGGCUGUGGAACACUAAGCGACUAAUAUAAGAGGCUCCGUGAACAUCCCCAUCCACAAUGAUGGCAGAACCCAGCAUGUGAGUGUAAAAGUCAGGGUUGAAGUGUUUGCAAACAUCAGAUUAUCUUCUCACCCUUUGGGGUUCCCACCAUUGCGGACGGAAGCAGCCUUCAGCCAACAGAAUUCAUUCGAUGUGACCUCAACAUUCGGAUGAGUGCGCUGGACAUAGCCAAGGCCAAAGGACUAGAAAACUCGACUGGACAAGCCACAUUAAAGCAGUUCCCACUAAAGUAGGCAAGAGGAUAUUCUGCACUGAAUGACUACAAGGCAUUCUUUGCUUGCUUGGAUGAAUGCAGCUGAAGAAUCACUCAAGAAGCUCAAUACCAAAUAGGAGAAAGUAGUUUGCUUUAUCGGCACUUUAUCUACUAACAUAAAUAACCACCACUGAUGUACCAUGAUUGCAGUAUGUACUAUCCGCAUGUGGCACUGCAGCAACUUGCAAGGCAUCUUUGUAGCAUCUCUCAAACCCACAACCUUCACUAACUUCUGAAGGGUGGCUGGGGUUGAGCAAUACCCACAUCCCAAGAAUGAAUUAAAAUAAUAAAAGGAAUGAGAAAUGUCCCUUUUAAAAAUCAGUUCUUUGGUGUCUUAUAUAUCUGUUUGAAAUUUCCCAAAAGCCAGUCAAGUCUUUUUAAGGGGAUGGGCUAGGGAGUUCAAUGUCUCAUGUCUUUACCAAUAUACCCUUCCCUGCCAUUGUCCUUAUCCCAUUUAUCCUCUCCCUUUCACAGAUAACCACGCUGCUGCAACGAGGAAAACUUACUUUAAGUAAUUCCAGGUUGGCUGGAAACUGAGAAGGUAUCAAAUGGCCAGAAUUUUAUGUCCCAUGGGCUGGCGCGCGCCCAACCUGGAUGGACGUGACAUAGCACGAGAUGAUGUUGGGCGAGUGUUCCGAUGUCAUUGUGCACUCACGUGAUAUUUCGCUCGGUGAGCAUGUGCAGCAGUCAGAAACGCAGCCACCAACAAUUAAGUGGCCAAUUAAGUCCAUUUACGAUGCAAUCAACAGUGAUUUUACGUGGCCCAUUUACAGUUGGCGGAUGGGCCAUUCUCCCAGGCGGCAUUCACAUUUUUGCUCAAACCUCGAUCCGGGCGGGAUGAAAUCUUCAUGGGGAAAUAAAAUAAUGAGAUAU